rnacentral:rRNA from 1 species
UACGAGGGGGGCGAGCGUUGUUCGGAAUUAUUGGGCGUAAAGGGUGCGUAGGCGGUUUUGUAAGUCUUAUGUGAAAUCUAUGGGCUCAACUCAUAGACUGCAUGAGAAACUGCAGGGCUUGAGUGUGGGAGAGGUGAGUGGAAUUCCUGGUGUAGCGGUGAAAUGCGUAGAUAUCAGGAGGAACACCUGUGGCGAAAGCGGCUCACUGGACCACAACUGACGCUGAUGCACGAAAGCUAGGGGAGCAAACAGG